AUACCGUUUAAUAAUUAGGGGUCGAAAAGGGGCAGAAGACAAUUAUUUUUCUGGGUUGCAGGCAAUAACUUGAAUAUAAGUGUAUGGAUCUCUAUUCAAUUUUAGCACAAGGUUCCAUACCACAAUAGGAAGGUUGGGUUUUUUUUUCGGGGGUUAUUAUAGUAGCUUUUUAUACGACCGCAAAAAUUGAAAAUUUUUUGGUCGUAUAUUGGUAUGACGUUGGCAUCGUCGUCGUCGUCGUCCGAAGACACAUUGGUUUUCGCACUCUAACUUUAGUUUAAGUGAAUGGAUCUCCAUGAAAUUUUACCAUAAGGUUCAAUACCACGAAAGGAAGGUGGGGAUUGAUUUUGGGGGUUAUGGUACCAACAGUUAAGGAAUUAGGGGCCAAAAAGGGGCCAAAAAUAAGCAUUUUUGUAACUUCCAGACAAUAACUUGUGUGUAAGUGUAUGGAUCUCUCUGACAUUGUACCACAAGGUUCCAUAUCACAAAGGGAAGGCUGUAAUCGAUUUGGGGGGUAAUUGCCUCAAAAUUUUAGGAAUUAGGGGCCAAAAAAGGGGCAAAAAACAAGCAUUUUUCUAGUUUCAUGACAAUAACUUGUGUGUAAGUGUUUGGAUAUUUCUGAAAUUGUACUACAAGGUUCCAUAUCACAAAGGGAAAGUUUGAAUUGAGUUUGGGGGUAAUUGCCCGAAACGUUUAGGAAUUGGGGGCCAAAAAGGGGCCAAAAAUAAGCAUUUUUCUAGUUUCCAGACAAUAACUUGUGUUCAAGUGUAUGGAUCUCUCUGAAAUUGUACUGCAAGGUACCAUACCACAAAGGGAAGGCUGGGAUUGAGUUUGGGGGUGAUGAAUCAUAAGGGGGUUCAAAAAAUUGGGGGGGGGAUUUUUUUUUUCUUUUUUUUUCUUUUUUUCCUUUUUUUUUUCUUUUAAAAUUUUCCAUUUCAAGUUGGUUAUUUCUGAUUAAUAUUUAAAAGCAAAUAAUAAUGAUAUGGUAGGAGAUACACACCAAACAGGAUGUGUAAAUUAUUAUAUAAUAAGUAUUGUGCAAUAGCAAGAAAUUUUCAAUUGCACAGUAUUGCACAAUUGCAAGAAAUCUUCAAUUGCACAGUAUUGCGCAAUAGCAAGAAAUCUUCAAUUGCACAGUAUUGCGCAAUAGCAAGAAAUAUCCAAUAGCACAAUAUUGCGCAAUAGCAAGAAAUUGUCAAUUGUACAGUAUUGCACAAUAGCAAGAAAUAUUCAAUUGCACAGUAUUGUGCAAAAGAAGAUACUUCGUAUAAAUUGCUUAUUUCUUGAUCAAUUUCAAUGGGGUUUUAUUCUUGAAUUCUUGGGGUUCUUUAAUAUGCUGAAUCUAACCGUGUAUUAAGUUUUUGGAUUUUGGGCCCCGUUUUUAAAUUGGUCCACAUUGAGGUCCAAAGGGUCCAAAAUUAAACUUUGUUUGAUUUCAUCAAAAAUUGAAUUAUUGGGGUUCUUUGAUAUGCCGAAUCUAACCGUGUAUUUAGAUUUUUAAUUUUGGGUCCCGUUUUUUAAAUUUGUCUACAUUAAGGUCCAAAGGGUCCAAAAUUAAACUUAGUUUGAUUUUAACAAAAAUUGAAUUCUUAGGGUUCUUUGAUAUGCUGAAUCUAAACAUGUGUUUAGAUUUUUGAUUAUGGGCCCAGUUUUCAAGUUGGUCCAAGUUGGGGUCCAAAAUUAAACUUUGUUUGAUUUCAACAAAAAUUGAAUAUAUGGGGUUCUUUGAUAUGCUGAAUCUAAACAUGUAUUUAGAUUUUAGAUUUUUGGCCCAGUUUUCAAGUUGGUCCAAAUUGGGGUCCAAAAUUAAACUUUGUUUGAUUUCAACAAAAAUUGAAUAUAUGGGGUUCUUUGAUAUGCUGAAUCUUACCAUGUAUUUAGAUUUUUUAUUUGUGGGCCCGCUAUCAAAUUGGUUCAUAUUGAGGUCAAAAGGGUCCAAAAUUAAACUUUGUUUGAUUUCAUCAAAAAUUGAAUUAUUGGGGUUCUUUGAUAUGCCAAUUCUAACCGUAUAUUUAGAUUUUUAAUUUUGGGUCCUGUUUUUUAAAUUGGUCUACAUUAAGGUCCAAAGGGUCCAAAAUUAAACUUAGUUUGAUUUUAACAAAAAUUGAAUUUUUGGGGUUCUUUGAUAUGCUGAAUCUAAACAUGUGUUUAGAUUUUUGAUUAUGGGACCAGUUUUCAAGUUGGUCCAAGUUGGGGUCCAAAAUUAAACUUUGUUUGAUUUCAACAAAAAUUGAAUAUAUGGGGUUCUUUGAUAUGCUGAAUCUAAACAUGUAUUUAGAUUUUAGAUUUUUGGCCCAGUUUUCAAGAUGGUCCAAAUUGGGGUCCAAAAUUAAACUUUGUUUGAUUUCAACAAAAAUUGAAUAUAUGGGGUUCUUUGAUAUGCUGAAUCUUACCAUGUAUUUAGAUUUUUUAUUUGUGGGCCCGCUAUCAAAUUGGUUCAUAUUGAGGUCAAAAGGGUCCAAAAUUAAACUUUGUUUGAUUUCAUCAAAAAUUUAAUUAUUGGGGUUCUUUGAUAUGCCAAAUCUAACUGUGUUUUUAGAUUUUUAAUUUAGGGUCCUGUUUUUUAAAUUUGUCUACAUUAAGGUCCAAAGGGUCCAAAAUUAAACUUAGUUUGAUUUUAACAAAAAUUGAAUUCUUCGGGUACUUUGAUAUGCUGAAUCUAAACAUGUGUUUAGAUUUUUGAUUAUGGGACCAGUUUUCAAGUUUGUCCAAGUUGGGGUCCAAAAUUAAACUUUGUUUGAUUUCAACAAAAAUUGAAUAUAUGGGGUUCUUUAAUAUGCUGAAUCUAACCAUGUAUUUUGAUUUUGGACAUUGGACCAUAAUAGGUAAAUUAAAAAAAUUGAAGUUCUUAGACCACAUUCUUUCUGUGUCAGAAACCUAUGCUGUGUCAAAUAUUUAAUCACAAUCCAAAUUCAGAGCUGUAUCAAGCUUGAAUGUUGUGUCCAUACUUGCCCCAACUGUUCAGGGUUCGACCUCUGCGGUCGUAUCAAGCUGCGCCCAGCGAAGCAUUUUAUUGAUUAUGGGCCCAGUUUUCAAGUUGGUCCAAAUCGGGGUCCAAAAUUAAACUUUGUUUGAUUUCAACAAAAAUUGAAUAUAUGGGGUUCUUUGAUAUGCUGAAUCUAACCAUGUAUUUAGAUUUUUGAUUUUUGGGCCCCGUUAUCAACUUUGUCCACAUUGAGGUCAAAAGGGUCCAAAAUUAAACUUUGUUUGAUUUCAUCAAAAAUUGAAUUAUUGGGGUUCUUUGAUAUGCCAAAUCUAACCGUGUAUUUAGAUUUUUAAUUUUGGGUCCUGUUUUUAAAUUGGUCUACAUUAAGGUCCAAAGGGUCCAAAAUUAAACUUAGUUUGAUUUUAACAAAAAUUGAAUUCUUGGGGUUCUUUGAUAUGCUGAAUCUAAACAUGUGUUUAGAUUUUUGAUUAUGGGCCCAGUUUUCAAGUUGGUCCAAGUUGGGGUCCAAAAUUAAACUUUGUUUGAUUUCAACAAAAAUUGAAUAUAUGGGGUUCUUUGAUAUGCUGAAUCUAAACAUGUAUUUAGAUUUUAGAUUUUUGGCCCAGUUUUCAAGUUGGUCCAAAUUGGGGUCCAAAAUUAAACUUUGUUUGAUUUCAACAAAAAUUGAAUAUAUGGGGUUCUUUGAUAUGCUGAAUCUUACCAUGUAUUUAGAUUUUUUAUUUGUGGGCCCGCUAUCAAAUUGGUUCAUAUUGAGGUCAAAAGGGUCCAAAAUUAAACUUUGUUUGAUUUCAUCAAAAAAUUAAUUAUUGGGGUUCUUUGAUAUGCCAAAUCUAACCGUGUAUUUAGAUUUUUAAUUUUGGGUCCCGUUUUUUAAAUUGGUCUACAUUAAGGUCCAAAGGGUCCAAAAUUAAACUUAGUUUGAUUUUAACAAAAAUUGAAUUCUUGGGGUACUUUGAUAUGCUGAAUCUAAACAUGUGUUUAGAUUUUUGUCGAGCCUGCGACUUUUGUCGCAGAAAGCUCGACAUAGGGAUAGCGAUCCGGCGGCGGCGGCGUUAGCUAACUUCUUAAAAGCUUUAUAUUUUAGAAGAUGGAAGACCUGGAUGCUUCAUACUUUGUAUAUGGAUGCCUCAUGUUACGAAGUUUCCGUCAGUCACAUGUCCAAUGUCCUUGACCUCAUUUUCAUGGUUCAGUGACUACUUGAAAAAAAAGUUCAGAUUUUUUGUACUGUUAAAUUCUCUCUUAUUAUAAGUAAUAGGAUAACUAUAUUUGGUAUGUGCGUACCUUGCAAGGUCCUCAUGCCCGUCAGACAGUUUUCACUUGACCUCGACCUCAUUUCAUGGAUCAGUGAACAAGGUUAAGUUUUCGUGGUCAAGUCCAUAUCUCAGAUACUAUAAGCAAUAGGUCUAGUAUAUUCGGUGUAUGGAAGGACUGUAAGGUGUAUAUGUCCAACUGGCAGGUGUCAUCUGACCUUGACCUCAUUUUCAUGGUUCAGUGGUUAUAGUUAAGUUUUUGUGUUUUGGUCUGUUUUUCUUAUACUGUAUGCAAUAGGUCUACUAUAUUUGGUGUAUGGAAUGAUUGUAAGGUGUACAUGUCUAGCUGGCAGGUGUCAUCUGACCUUGACCUCAUUUUCAUGGUUCAGUGGACAAAGUUAAGUUUUUGAGUUUUGGUCUUUCUUUCUAAUACUGCAUGCAAUAGGUCAGCUAUAUUUGGUGUAUGGAAUGAUUGUAAGGUGUACAUGUCUAGCUGGCAGGUGUCAUCUGACCUUGACCUCAUUUUCAUGGUUCAGUGGACAAAGUUAAUUUUUGAGUUUUGGUCUUUUUUUCUAAUACUAUAUGCAAUAGUUCAACUAUAUUUGGUGUAUGGAAAUAUUUUAUGAUCUAUAUGUCAUUCAUGCAGGUUUUAUUUGACCUUGACCUUAUUUUCAAGGUUCAUUACUCAGUGUUAAGUUUUUGUGUUUUGGUCUGUUUUUCUUAAACUAUAAGCAAUAGGUCAACUAUAUUUGUUGUAUGGAAGAAUUGUUAGCUGUAAAUGCCUGCCUAGCAUGGUUCAUCUGACCUUGACCUCAUUUUCAUGGUUCAUUGGUCAAUGUUUAGUUUACUUGGUUAAUGUUAAGUUUAUGUGACAGUUGUAAUAAAGCUUUAUAUUUAGGACUAUCAACAUAAUGUCAAUGA